GGUAGCGUGGCCAGUUGGUUUAAGGUGCUAGAUUAAGUCUCAAGUAUCAUUGGGGGUGUGGGUUUGAAUCCCACCGCUGCCA
rnacentral:tRNA from 1 species